GACGAACGCUGGCGGCGUGCUUAACACAUGCAAGUCGAACGGAAAGGCCCUGCUUUUGUGGGGUGCUCGAGUGGCGAAGGGGUGAGUAACACGGGAGUAACCUGCCCUGGACUUUGGGAUAACUUCAGGAAACUGGGGCUACUACCGGAUAGGAGCGCCUGCUGCAUGGGGGGGGUUGGAGAGUUUCGGCGGUUGGGGCUGGAGUCGCGGCUUAUCAGCUUGUUGGUGGGGUAGUGGCUUACCAAGGCUUUGACGGGUAGGCGGCCUGAGAGGGUGACCGGCCACAUUGCGACUGAGAUACGGCCCAGACUCCUACGGGAGGCAGCAGUGGGGAAUAUUGCACAAUGGGCGGAAGCCUGAUGCAGCAACGCCGCGUGCGGGAUGACGGCCUUCGGGUUGUAAACCGCUUUCGCCUGUGACGAAGCGUGAGUGACGGUAAUGGGUAAAGAAGCACCGGCUAACUACGUG
rnacentral:rRNA from 1 species